GAUAAACGCUGGCGGCGUGCCUAACACAUGCAAGUCGAACGAUCCCGCAAGGGAGAGUGGCGGAAGGGUGAGUAACACGUGGGAAUCUACCUCCUCGCAGGGAACAACCUCUCGAAAGAGAGGCUAAUACCCAAAAGGGUCAGUAAUGAUCAGAGUCGAAAGGCGUGAGGAGAGGAGCCCGCGGCCCAUCAGCUAGUUGGUGAGGUAAUGGCUUACCAAGGCUACGACCGGGUAGGGGAUCUGAGAGGAUGUCCCCCACACUGGAACUGAAACACGGUCCAGACGCCUACGGGUGGCAGCAGUGAGGAAUAUUGGACAAUGGGCGAAAGCCCGAUCCAGCAACGCCGCGUGGAGGAUGAAGGCCUUCGGGUCGUAAACUUCUUUAGAGGGAGACGAGAAAGGACGGUAUCCCUAGAAUAAGCGACGGCAAACUACGUG
rnacentral:rRNA from 1 species